rnacentral:ncRNA from 1 species
GAGAGCACAGUACGAUGAAAGUUGUAAGCUAUGUUCGAGGGGGAAUUAUUGUCUAUCGUUGGCCUCUAUGGUAGAAUCAGUCGCGGGACAAAGUUGUAAGCUAUGUUCGAGGGGGAAUUAUUGUCUAUCGUUGGCCUCUAUGGUAGAAUCAGUCGCGGGACCUGAGAGGCGGUGGUUUACCCUGU